rnacentral:lncRNA from 1 species
GGUGGGAAAAUCAGAUUAAAAGCAACAAUUCAAAGCAUAAAUUAGUGUCAACUUCAACAUGACAAGACAGAGGGUAAACUAACUGUAAUCUGUCACCUAUGUUGUUCUGAUUCAUUUGUUUUUCUUCAACUGCUUGUGUUUUACGCAUUUUUAGAUACGGGUAUGGGAAAUGAUUGACUCCCAAAAGCACGGAAACAGUUGAACAAUCAUGUGUUGAGGGAUUGGCUCUUUUGAGAGAAAUUUUUGAAGUACUGUUUGUCGAGUAACCAAUCGGAUUCCAACAAUCGAAUGUAUUGUCUUUGUCUCCUGUAUUUUGCCAAGAGCCAACUUACCGUGAGCGGCUGCCCUGAAGGUCUAGUUCACAAAGAUGGAAGUGCCUCAAGCGCACGUGGGUGUAGCCCAAGUGAACCAUCUUCCUCAACAAGUGACUUAUAUGCCAUAGAUCAGGCGUUCGAAUUCCACCAGGGUGAGAUGCUCACAUCCCCUUGGCGAGUUCACAAAGAUGGAAGUGCCCUGAAGGUCUAGUUCACAAAGAUGGAAGUGUCUCAAGCGUACGUGGGUGUAGCCCAAGUGAACCAUCUUCCUCAACAAGUGACUUAUAUGCCAUAGAUCAGGCGUUCGAAUUCCACCAGGGUGAGAUGCUCACAUCCACUUGGCGAGUUCACAAAGAUGGAAGUGCCCUGAAGGUCUAGUUCACAAAGAUGGAAGUGCCUCAAGCGUACGUGGGUGUAGCCCAAGUGAACCAUCUUCCUCAACAAGUAACUUAUAUGCCAUAGAUCAGCCGUUCGAAUUCCACCAGGGUGAGAUGCUCACAUCCCCUUGGCAAGUAGCUACUCACAUAUGGUCAAGACACUCCCGGACCAAGCCUUUAGGGUAGCCGCUCAUGGCAUGCUGACUCUCGGCAAAGUAUAGGAGACAAAACUCUAGAAUAGAGACAAUAUCUUCGAUUGUUGGGGGUUUGGUUGGCUGCACGGCGAAAGACACUUUUAAGGUUUUUCUUGAAGAAGCCGAUUCCGUCAACAAUAUCUAAUACUCACACUGGAGUACGAACAACAUAUUUUACUCUGGUUGGAUGGGUGGAGUUUCCAAAUGAAUGCUCAAUCAAGAAUCAUUAAGACAAUCCUCCCUAAUCUGAAAUCCAAGUGAGGAAUCCAUUCUGAAAGAAUGAAAUUCCAGUAAAAAAAUCAUGAAAUGCAUACACUCGGACGAGCUAAAAGUGAACAACCGCAGCUACCUCAAUAAGACACAAGAUUAUAAAUUUUGAAUAUAAGUAGUGAAAAA